ACGCUGGCGGCAGGCCUAACACAUGCAAGUCGAGCGGUAGAGAGAAGCUUGCUUCUCUUGAGAGCGGCGGACGGGUGAGUAAUGCCUAGGAAUCUGCCUGGUAGUGGGGGAUAACGCUCGGAAACGGACGCUAAUACCGCAUACGUCCUACGGGAGAAAGCAGGGGACCUUCGGGCCUUGCGCUAUCAGAUGAGCCUAGGUCGGAUUAGCUAGUUGGUGGGGUAAUGGCUCACCAAGGCGACGAUCCGUAACUGGUCUGAGAGGAUGAUCAGUCACACUGGAACUGAGACACGGUCCAGACUCCUACGGGAGGCAGCAGUGGGGAAUAUUGGACAAUGGGCGAAAGCCUGAUCCAGCCAUGCCGCGUGUGUGAAGAAGGUCUUCGGAUUGUAAAGCACUUUAAGUUGGGAGGAAGGGUUGUAGAUUAAUACUCUGCAAUUUUGACGUUACCGACAGAAUAAGCACCGGCUAACUCUGUGCCAGCAGCCGCGGUAAUACAGAGGGUGCAAGCGUUAAUCGGAAUUACUGGGCGUAAAGCGCGCGUAGGUGGUUAGUUAAGUUGGAUGUGAAAUCCCCGGGCUCAACCUGGGAACUGCAUUCAAAACUGACUGACUAGAGUAUGGUAGAGGGUGGUGGAAUUUCCUGUGUAGCGGUGAAAUGCGUAGAUAUAGGAAGGAACACCAGUGGCGAAGGCGACCACCUGGACUGAUACUGACACUGAGGUGCGAAAGCGUGGGGAGCAAAC
rnacentral:rRNA from 1 species